rnacentral:rRNA from 1 species
UACGUAGGGGGCGAGCGUUGUCCGGAUUUACUGGGCGUAAAGGGCGCGUAGGCGGUCUGCUAAGUCAGAAGUGAAAUCUCCAGGCUCAACUUGGAAACUGCUUUUGAUACUGGCGGACUGGAGUAGCGGAGAGGUGAUUAGAAUUCCCGGUGUAGCGGUGACAUGCAUUGAUAUCGGGAGGAAUACCAACAGCGAAGGCAGAUCACUGGUCGCUUACUGACGCUGAGGCGCGAAAGCGUGGGGAGCAAACAGC